UGAAAGCAUCUAAGCGUGAAGCCUACCCUAAGAUAAGAUUUCCCAUGACGUAAGUCAGUAAGAUCCCUUGAAGAACACAAGGUUGAUAGGUGAGAGGUGUAAGUGCAGUAAUGUAUUCAGCUUACUCAUACUAAUAGAUCGAGGGCUUAAUCAAAA
rnacentral:rRNA from 1 species